GAUGAACGCUGGCGGCGUGCUUAACACAUGCAAGUCGAACGGAAAGGCUCCUGCUUGCAGGGGUACUCGAGUGGCGAACGGGUGAGUAACACGUGGGUGAUCUGCCCUGCACUUCGGGAUAAGCCUGGGAAACUGGGUCUAAUACCGGAUAGGACGAUGGUUUGGAUGCCAUUGUGGAAAGUUUUUUCGGUGUGGGAUGAGCUCGCGGCCUAUCAGCUUGUUGGUGGGUAAUGGCCUACCAAGGCGUCGACGGGUAGCCGGCCUGAGAGGGUGUACGGCCACAUUGGGACUGAGAUACGGCCCAGACUCCUACGGGAGGCAGAAGUGGGGAAUAUUGCACAAUGGGCGCAAGCCUGAUGCAGCGACGCCGCGUGGGGGAUGACGGCCUUCGGGUUGUAAACUCCUUUCGCUAGGGACGAAGCGCAAGUGACGGUACCUGGAGAAGAAGCACCGGCUAACUACGUG
rnacentral:rRNA from 1 species